CACGUAGGGACCAAGCGUUGUCCGGAAUCAUUGGGCGUAAAGCGCGCGUAGGUGGCCAUUUAAGUCCGCUGUGAAAGUCAGAGGCUCAACCUUUGAAAGCCGGUGGAUACUGGAUGGCUAGAGUACGGAAGAGGCGAGUGGAAUUCCUGGUGUAGCGGUGGAAUGCGCAGAUAUCAGGAGGAACACCAAUAGCGAAGGCAGCUCGCUGGGACGUUACUGACACUAAGGCGCGAAAGCGUGGGGAGCGAACAGG
rnacentral:rRNA from 1 species